rnacentral:rRNA from 1 species
UCCUACGGGGGGCAGCAGUAGGGAAUCUUCCACAAUGGACGAAAGUCUGAUGGAGCAACGCCGCGUGAAUGAAGAAGGCCUUCGGGUUGUAAAAUUCUGUUAUAAGGGAAGAAAGGUGAUAGGAGGAAAUGACUAUCAAUUGACGGUACCUUAUGAGAAAGCCACGGCUAACUACGUGCCAGCAGCCGCGGUAAUACGUAGGUGGCAAGCGUUAUCCGGAAUGAUUGGGCGUAAAGGGUGCGUAGGCGGCCUGCUAAGUCUGGAGUGAAAGGCACCGGCUCAACCGGUACAGGCUCUGGAAACUG